AUGCUCACUUCGGCAGCACAUAUACUAAAAUUGGAACGAUACAGAGAUUAGCAUGGCCUCGGCACAAGGAUGACACCCAAAUUUAUGAAAAUUUAGCAAAAAAU
rnacentral:snRNA from 1 species